UACGUAGGACCCAAGCGUUGUCCGGAUUCACUGGGUAUAAAGGGUGCGUAGGCGGUCUUGUGCGUCAGAGGUGAAAUAUCCGAGCUUAACUCGGAGGGUGCCUUUGAUACGGCGAGACUUGAGUGCGAGAGAGGAUGAUGGAAUUCCUGGUGUAGCAGUGAAAUGCGUAGAUAUCAGGAGGAACACCGGUGGCGAAGGCGGUCAUCUGGCUCGCAACUGACGCUGAGGCACGAAAGCGCGGGGAUCAAACAGG
rnacentral:rRNA from 1 species